rnacentral:rRNA from 1 species
AGUGGGGAAUAUUGGACAAUGGGGGCAACCCUGAUCCAGCGACGCCGCGUGUGUGAAGAAGGCCUGCGGGUUGUAAAGCACUUUUAGUGGGGAUGAAAAGCCAAGGGUUAAUACCCUUUGGUCUUGACCUAACCCAAAGAAAAAGCACCGGCUAACUCUGUGCCAGCAGCCGCGGUAAUACAGAGGGUGCAAGCGUUAAUCGGAAUUACUGGGCGUAAAGCGUGCGUAGUCGGCUACUCAAGUCGGGUGUGAAAGCCCCGGGCUCAACCUGGGAAUUGCAUUCGAUACUGUGUGGCUAGAGUUCGGCAGAGGGAAGUGGAAUUUCCGGUGUAGCGGUGAAAUGCGUAGAUAUCGGAAGGAACAUCAGUGGCGAAAGCGACUUCCUGGACCAGAACUGACGAUCAGGCACGAAAGCGUGGGGAGCAAA